rnacentral:rRNA from 1 species
UAGGGAAUCUUCGGCAAUGGACGAAAGUCUGACCGAGCAACGCCGCGUGAGUGAAGAAGGUUUUCGGAUCGUAAAACUCUGUUGUUAGAGAAGAACAAGGACGUUAGUAACUGAACGUCUCCUGACGGUAUCUAACCAGAAAGCCACGGCUAACUACGUGCCAGCAGCCGCGGUAAUACGUAGGUGGCAAGCGUUGUCCGGAUUUAUUGGGCGUAAAGCGAGCGCAGGCGGUUUCUUAAGUCUGAUGUGAAAGCCCCCGGCUCAACCGGGGAGGGUCAUUGGAAACGGGGAGACUUGAGUGCAGAAGAGGGGAGUGGAAUUCCAUGUGUAGCGGUGAAAUGCGUAGAUAUAUGGAGGAACACCAGUGGCGAAGGCGGCUCUCUGGUCUGUACCUGACGCUGAGGCUCGAAAGCGUGGGAAGCAAACAGG